GCGACUGUGAUGGAACGGUAGACAUAGGACACUUAAGCUGUCCAGGCCACGGCCAUGUAGGUUCGAGUCCUACUAGUCGCA